UGAUAAAAUUUUCAUCUAUUUUUCUGUUAAAAACUAGUGUGGCUGAUAGAAUAACUAGAGAGUUACAUUCUAUCUAGAGAGUUACAUGUGACGUGUACCUCAUUCUGACAUAUAGAGAUCAGCUUUUAAUAGUAAAAAUAGAUGAAAUUUUUGGUC
rnacentral:pre_miRNA from 1 species